UCCGUAGGUGGCAAGAGUUGUCCGGAUUUACUGGGUGUAAAGGGCGUGUAGGCGGGGAAGCAAGUCAGAUGUGAAAUCCCAGGGCUUAACUCUGGAGCUGCAUCUGAAACUGUUUUUCUUGAGUGCUGGAGAGGAAAGUGGAAUUCCCAGUGUAGCGGUGAAAUGCGUAGAGAUUGGGAGGAACACCAGUGGCGAAGGCGGCUUUCUGGACAGUAACUGACGCUGAGGCGCGAAAGCGUGGGGAGAAAACAGG
rnacentral:rRNA from 1 species